GAAUAAAGCGGCAAACGGGUGAGUAACGCGUAGGAAUCUGCCUUUCAGUGAGGAAUACCUUCGAGAAAUCGAAGUUAAUACUGCAUACGUCUCGAAAGAGAGAAAGAUGGCCUCUUUGCUGUCGCUGAAAGAUGAGCCUGCGUACUAUUAGCUAGUUGGUGGGGUAAAAGCCUACCAAGGCGAUGAUGGUUAGCCGGCCUGAGAGGGUGUACGGCCACACUGGAACUUAGACACGGUCCAGACUCCUACGGGAGGCAGCAGUGAGGAAUAUUGCGCAAUGGGCGAAAGCCUGACGCAGCGACGCCGCGUGGAGGAUGAAGGUCUUCGGAUUGUAAACUUCUGUUAAGUGGGAAGAAAAUCGGGGCUCUAAUACAGCUCUAAAAUGACGGUACCACUAGAGAAAGCACCGGCUAACUUCGUGCCAGCAGCCGCGGUAAUACGAAGGGUGCGAGCGUUAUUCGGAUUUAUUGGGCGUAAAGGGUGCGCAGGCGGUGCGCUAAGUCAACUGUUAAAUCUCCCGGCCUAACCGGGAAUCAGCGGUAGAUACUGGCGUGCUAGAGGGUGGAAGAGAGAAGUGGAAUUCUUGGAGUAGCGGUAAAAUGCGUAGAUCUCAAGAGGAACACCGAUGGCGAAGGCAGCUUCUUGGUCCACAUCUGACGCUCAUGCACGAAAGCGUGGGGAGCAAACAGGAUUAGAUACCCUGGUAGUCCACGCUGUAAACGAUGAUCACUAGACGUUAGUUCUGCUCUGCAGAAUUAGUGUCGUAGCUAACGCGAUAAGUGAUCCGCCUGGGGACUACGGUCGCAAGAUUAAAACUCAAAGGAAUUGACGGGGGUCCGCACAAGCGGUGGAACAUGUGGUUUAAUUCGACACUACGCGAGGAACCUUACCUAGGUUUGA
rnacentral:rRNA from 1 species